UCAAAGUCUUUUAAGAGCAAAACGGUGGAUCUUUGGCAUCUGGAGCCGAAGAAGGACGUAGCAUCUGCGAUAAGCCUCGGGGGAACUGAUAAGCGAGUUUUGAUCCGAGGGUGUCCGAAUGGGGGAAACCCCGCCAGGGCGCGUGCGUACCUGGUGACUCCCGCCUGAAUAUAUAGGGCGGGUAGAGGGAACGU
rfam:Microbacterium sp. STBG005 Ion018_assembly_rep_c4930, whole genome shotgun sequence.